rnacentral:rRNA from 1 species
GACAGAGGUGGCGAGCGUUGUUCGGAAUUACUGGGCUUAAAGGGCGCGUAGGCGGUGGGACAAGUCUGAGGUGGAAUCCGGAGGCUUAACCUCCGAACUGCCUUGGAAACUGUACUGCUUGAGUUAGACAGGGGAAGGCGGAAUUCCUGGUGUAGCGGUGAAAUGCGUAGAUAUCAGGAGGAAGGCCUGUGGCGAAGGCGGCCUUCUGGGUCUUAACUGACGCUGAGGCGCGAAAGCGUGGGGAGCAAAC